rnacentral:lncRNA from 1 species
UUGCUAUUGGAAUGUGGCUGACACAGAAUUCUCCCUUGAUGAACUGACAGAUGGCUAAUUAAUGACAUAAAACUGAAACAGACCAGGGUGAGGGAACUGAGAGGAAAGUGACUCAAAAUGCAAGGAGUUUCUUCUCUUCUAUUUCUUUGAUUAUCUGUGAAACUGAAACCACUUGGCAGAAAGAGGAGUUAGAGCAAGGAGAGCAAGCAGCCUGGGCUCAGGAUGAACGUGAAAGUCCAUUCAGUACUUGGAAAGACUUGCAUUUUAUCCUGAUAGGACUUCUUGGCAAACCCAGGGAAGCAACACUAGAAACUUGAAGAUAUCCGUACUCUCUGUUUGUGAGGGGACAAAAAUAUCUGAUGUGUUUGAGUCCCAUGAAACUUCUCCAUUAGAGGAAGAUACUUUCUUUGCUCUUUCUCCCGC